GCCUGCCCAGUGAUUAAAAUUUAACGGCCGCGGUAUCCUAACCGUGCAAAGGUAGCGCAAUCACUUGUUCUUUAAAUAAGGACUAGUAUGAAUGGCGCCAUGAGGGGCAAUUUGUCUCUCACGAUAAGUCUAUGAAAUUGAUCUACCAGUGCAAAAGCUGGAAUAAACUCACAAGACGAGAAGACCCUGUGGAGCUUUAAACUUAAAAUCACUAACAUGAUCACACAGUUUUUAGUUGGGGCGACUUUGGAACAAACUUAAACUUCCAAACCACUAAUUACGGCGGACGCGCCUAAACCAAAAACCAUUGACCCAAUAUAAUUGAGUAAUGAACCAAGUUACCCCAGGGAUAACAGCGCAAUCUUCUUUUAGAGUCCCUAUCGACAAGAAGGUUUACGACCUCGAUGUUGGAUCAGGAUAUCCAAAUAGUGCAGCCGCUAUUAAAGGUUCGUUUGUUCAACGAUUAAUAAUCCUACGUGAUCUGAGUUCAGACCGG
rnacentral:rRNA from 1 species